AUACCUACUAGGUAUUUCGAUAUAGUUCUUGCAAUUCACGAAGGCGAGUGAACUUUACUUGUGGUUACGUCGUAUACACGGGCAUUGCGUAAGUGUGCGUGCAUGUCGGACCAAUCAGUCGCGAGCAAACGCACACAUUUA